rnacentral:rRNA from 1 species
UCAACCAANGUAUGCUUUGGAAACUGUUAGACUNGAGUGCAGAAGGGGAGAGUGGAAUUCCAUGUGUAGCGGUGAAACGCGUAGAUAUAUGGAGGAACACCGGUGGCGAAAGCGGCUCUCUGGUCUGUCACUGACGCUGAGGCUCGAAAGCGUGGGUAGCGAACAGGAUUAGAUACCCUGGUAGUCCACGCCGUAAACGCUGAGUGCUAGGUGUUAGGUCCUUUCCGGGACUUAGUGCCGACGCUAACGCAUUAAGCACUCCGCCUGGGGAGUACGACCGCAAGGUUGAAACUCAAAGGAAUUGACGGGGGCCCGCACAAGCGGUGGAGCAUGUGGUUUAAUUCGAAGCAACGCGAAGAACCUUACCAGGUCUUGACAUCCCGAUGCCCGCUCUAGAGAUAGAGUUUUACUUUUUGUACAUCGGAGACAGGUGGUGCAUGGUUGUCGUCAGCUCGUGUCGUGAGAUGUUGGGUUAAGNNNNNNNACGAGCGCAACCCUUAUUGUUAGUUGCCAUCAUUAAGUUGGGCACUCUAGCGAGACUGCCGGUAAUAAACCGGAGGAAGGUGGGGAUGACGUCAAAUCAUCAUGCCCCUUAUGACCUGGGCUACACACGUGCUACAAUGGUUGGUACAACGAGUCGCAAGCCGGUGACGGCAAGCUAAUCUCUGAAAGCCAAUCUCAGUUCGGAUUGUAGGCUGCAACUCGCCUACAUGAAGUCGGAAUCGCUAGUAAUCGCGGAUCAGCACGCCGCGGUGAAUACGUUCCCGGGCCUUGU